GAUGAACGCUGGCGGCGUGCCUAAUACAUGCAAGUCGAGCGAACAGACGAGGAGCUUGCUCCUCUGACGUUAGCGGCGGACGGGUGAGUAACACGUGGAUAACCUACCUAUAAGACUGGGAUAACUUCGGGAAACCGGAGCUAAUACCGGAUAAUAUAUUGAACCGCAUGGUUCAAUAGUGAAAGACGGUUUUGCUGUCACUUAUAGAUGGAUCCGCGCCGCAUUAGCUAGUUGGUAAGGUAACGGCUUACCACGGCGACGAUGCGUAGCCGACCUGAGAGGGUGAUCGGCCACACUGGAACGGAGACACGGUCCAGACUCCUACGGGAGGCAGCAGUAGGGAAUCUUCCGCAAUGGGCGAAAGCCUGACGGAGCAACGCCGCGUGAGUGAUGAAGGUCUUCGGAUCGUAAAACUCUGUUAUUAGGGAAGAGCAAAUGUGGAAGUAACUAUGCACGUCGUGACGGUACCUAAUCAGAAAGCCACGGCUAACUACGUG
rnacentral:rRNA from 1 species